CACGUAGGGGGCAAGCGUUGUCCGGAUUUAUUGGGCGUAAAGAGCGUGUAGGCGGCCAUACAGGUCCGUUGUGAAAACUGGAGGCUUAACCUCCAGACGUCGAUGGAAACCGUAUGGCUAGAGUCCGGAAGAGGAGAGUGGAAUUCCUGGUGUAGCGGUGAAAUGCGCAGAUAUCAGGAAGAACACCCGUGGCGAAGGCGGCUCUCUAGGACGGUACUGACGCUGAGACGCGAAAGCGUGGGGAGCGAACAGG
rnacentral:rRNA from 1 species